rnacentral:ncRNA from 1 species
GUCGGGAGGGUGGCGCCAUAAAACACCCCCGGGGAAAACGCCGCUCCGUAUCGUUUGCACGGAUUUCAGCCUCCCGACUCCCUCGC